GAUGAACGCUGGCGGCGUGCCUAAUACAUGCGAGUCGAGCGAACAGACGAGGAGCUUGCUCCUCUGACGUUAGCGGCGGACGGGUGAGUAACACGUGGAUAACCUACCUAUAAGACUGGGAUAACUUCGGGAAACCGGAGCUAAUACCGGAUAAUAUAUUGAACCGCAUGGUUCAAUAGUGAAAGACGGUUUUGCUGUCACUUAUAGAUGGAUCCGCGCCGCAUUAGCUAGUUGGUAAGGUAACGGCUUACCAAGGCAACGAUGCGUAGCCGACCUGAGAGGGUGAUCGGCCACACUGGAACUGAGACACGGUCCAGACUCCUACGGGAGGCAGCAGUAGGGAAUCUUCCGCAAUGGGCGAAAGCCUGACAGAGCAACGCCGCGUGAGUGAUGAAGGUCUUCGGAUCGUAAAACUCUGUUAUUAGGGAAGAACAAAUGUGUAAGUAACUAUGCACGUCUUGACGGUACCUAAUCAGAAAGCCACGGCUAACUACGUG
rnacentral:rRNA from 1 species